ACGCUGAGUGUCCGCCUGCACCCCCACACCCACCUGCUGGGUGGCGGCCCAGAAGCUGCGCUGCAGGAACUCCAUCCUCAUCUGGAUGCCCACGGCUGCCGAGGAGCGGGGCAGGGGGCGGCAAAGAGAUGAGCCGACAACACCAGAAAACACCCCAAGAUGUGAUGCUGAGGUCCAGGAGCCAGGAGCUCGAGGUGGAUGCCUGGGGAGGCAGUCCCACUUUCCCGCUGAGACCCAGGCUGGAGUCCAGGGUGCUGUGGGAGGCGACACCCCUCCAACACCCGCUCAGGCCCCCACUUAAGAGGCUCCUCCUUACAAAGCAGGACCUGACAGGCUGGGAGAAUGCGAGGUGGUGCCCAGAGGCUAGGAGAAACCUGGGCCUGGAGAAUAGGAAGACAGGCAAGUCGUAGAGAAAGAGAAAGCAUAAGGAAAUGAGGCCGCUUCCUACCAUCAGGAACGAGGAUAAGAGAAAAUGCCCUGGGUGUCAGCUCAAAUCCUGAGCGAAGAAGCUGAGCGAAAGAGGAGGCACCUUCUAACAACGGCCAGAGGGGAGCAGCGUGAAUGGUUCAGGAUUCAAGAAACCCUGACCUCGGUCUCUGGGUCCAAGCUCUCAGACUCUUUCUAGAGCUAGACUCAACCUUGCAACUCCAUGGCUCAGGGCCGGGUCUCCUGGAGGUAUGGCAUUUCCAAACUGGGAGAAAUUCUGGGAUUCUAAUUCUGGCGUCUCAAGAGUGCGGGGCCAAGGUUUCCCUAAUGAGACAGGGUUUUGAGGCUUGUGGCUGGAGACGGAGGAGCAAGGCCCCAAGCCUGUUCUCCGGAACCAGGGUCCAUCUCAGGGGUCCACGAGCCACCCCCCAGGCCCUAGGCCCUGGUCCUAGGACUUGGGACAUCUCUCUGCUUGCUGUCAGUCCACCCUGGUCACCAGUAGGCAUUUCAGACUUCACAUGGUCAAAACCCGACUGUGGCUCUUUCUCCCCAAACCUGAGCCUCCUUGAGACCCCUCCCCACAGGAGGCCACGUCACCCACCUAAUGGUCACCAUCUUGCCGUAUCCUGCCAGAGUGCUGCUGCCCUUGUUCCCAAACUUCAUGAACCUCCCUGCUCUCUCCACCCCCACCACUACCCCAAUCCACCUGAAUUAAUGCCCCAGACCCCCGAAUGGAUCCUUCGCCACGGAGCCUUGAGAGUGACCUUCCUGAAGGUUAAAUUGCGUCUCUCCCUUGCUCAAAACCUCCCAAGGCCUUCCUGUUGCCCUCAGAAUAAAAUAGAAACUUCUCUGUGGUUUGGCA